CCUCGGAGAGUUUGAUCCUGGCUCAGGACGAACGCUGGCGGCGUGCCUAAUACAUGCAAGUCGAGCGGACA
rnacentral:rRNA from 1 species